rnacentral:rRNA from 1 species
CCUACGUGAGGCAGCAGUGAGGAAUAUUGGUCAAUGGACGAGAGUCUGAACCAGCCAAGUAGCGUGAAGGAUGACUGCCCUAUGGGUUGUAAACUUCUUUUAUAUGGGAGUAAAAUGUUCCACGUGUGGGAUUUUGUAUGUACCAUAUGAAUAAGGAUAGGCUAACUCCGUGACAGCAGCCGCGGUAAUACGGAGGAUCCGAGCGUUAUCCGGAUUUAUUGGGUUUAAAGGGGGCGUAGGUGGAUUGUUAAGUCAGUUGUGAAAGUUUGCGGCUCAACCGGAAAAUUGCAGUUGAAACUGGCUGUCUUGAGUACAGUAGAGGUUGGCGGAAUUCGGAGUGUAGCGGUGAAAUGCUUAGAUAUCAGGAAGAACACCGAUUGCGAAGGCAGCUCACUGGACUGUAACUGACACUGAGGCUCGAAAGUGUGGGUAGCAAACAGGAUUAGAUACCCCUGUAGUC